rnacentral:rRNA from 1 species
AGAUUGAACGCUGGCGGAAUGCUUCACACAUGCAAGUCGAACGGCAGCACGGGGGCAACCCUGGUGGCGAGUGGCGAACGGGUGAGUAAUACAUCGGAACGUGCCCAGUCGUGGGGGAUAACUACGCGAAAGCGUAGCUAAUACCGCAUACGAUCUACGGAUGAAAGCGGGGGAUCGCAAGACCUCGCGCGAUUGGAGCGGCCGAUGGCAGAUUAGGUAGUUGGUGGGUAAAGGCUCACCAAGCCUGCGAUCUGUAGCUGGUCUGAGAGGACGACCAGCCACACUGGGACUGAGACACGGCCCAGACUCUACGGGAGCAGCAGUGGGAAUUUGGACAAUGGGCGAAAGCCUGAUCCAGCCAUUCCGCGUGCAGGAUGAAGGCCUUGGUGUAACUGCUUUGUACGAACGAAAGUCCUUACUUCUAAUACAAGUAGGUCAUGACGUAACCGUAAGAA